CCCUCCCACGCCAGGGAAAAUGCCUCUUUGGCUCCAUUUCGUGUUCGUUGCAGCAGCUUUGGGAGGUGUCCGGUCACAAGUCCAGCUGCUGGAGUCCGGCGGGGAUGUGAAAAAGCCCGGAGACUCCCUCAGACUGACCUGUACCACCUCGGGGUUCAGCAUAGACAGCUACUGGAUGAGCUGGGUCCGCCAGGCUCCCGGGCAGGGGCUGCAGUGGGUAUCAGCAAUUCUGGGAUCAACCACCCAUUACGGAGAUUCCGUGAAAGGGCGAUUCACCACCUCUACAGACAGCUCCAAGAAGCUGAUCUACCUGCAACUGACCGGCCUGAAGCCCGAGGACACCGCCCGCUAUUACUGUUUCCUCAUUGACUCCCCAUCCUUGGACACGCUCAUUUCUCCACCUCCAGGAAGAUGA